rnacentral:rRNA from 1 species
UACGAAGGGGGCUAGCGUUGCUCGGAUUGACUGGGCGUAAAGGGCGCGUAGGCGGUUCGUACAGUCAGACGUGAAAUUCCUGGGCUCAACCUGGGGGCUGCGUUUGAUACGUGCGGACUUGAGGACUGGAGAGGAGACUGGAAUUUACGGUGUAGCGGUGAAAUGCGUAGAUAUCGUAAGGAAGACCAGUGGCGAAGGCGGGUCUCUGGACAGUUCCUGACGCUGAGGCACGAAGGUCAGGGGAGCAAACGGG